UCAUUUGGCGCGUUCCAUUAGCCAGAAAAGGGAGGUUGUGCAGCAAUUGAGGCACUGCAAUACAAUGUAACAGAACUGCAGUGCGCUGGAGUGUAUGUGAGUACUGUAACAUCAGCUCUGUCUAUGAGGGUGGGGUCUGGCUGAACUGGAACCUCAGACACCGUGAGAAAAACACCAAAGGAGCAGGAGAGCAAAGGAGAGAGGAAGCACCAGGAGAGGAAGACGACAAGGGAUGAAAGGAGACACCCCUGUGAAUAGCACCAUGAGUGUUGGUCAGGCCAGGAAGCUUGUGGAGCAGCUGAAGAUUGAAGCCAGCAUGUGUCGAAUUAAGGUGUCAAAGGCUGCUGCGGACCUGAUGGCCUACUGUGAUGCCCAUGCCUGCGAAGACCCCCUCAUCACCCCUGUGCCCACAUCCGAGAACCCCUUCAGGGAGAAGAAGUUCUUCUGUGCUCUGCUCUGAGAGACACGGGCAGAUGACAGCACAUAUCUACACCAUGGAAGAGCAGCCAGAUGGAAACAGGGGGUCUGCCGGGAUGACAGUGAACAUAUGUGUAAUUAUCUACAGCAGUGUUUCCCUGAGGACCGGGUUGGGGAAUACUGAUCUACAGUUUUGAUAUUUAUACACUCAAAGGUCAAAAUACUUUUGCCAAGUCUGAUUUUAAAAAUGAUUUUGCCAUUGUUUUUUAAUCCUUGAUUUUCAUAUAUGUAUUUAUUUAAAAUUGGUCAGUAUUAAUGCACACGGUGGAGAGCAAAGAAAAGAAAAAACAACCACUAUAAACUCAAAGUAUAAUUUGCCACUUUUACAAGUGAAACUGUAUUUUUGCAUUGAUAAUGUUUUUGGAUUAGUUUGAGAUCAGUAAGUUUACUAGGCCUGAGAGAUCGAACUUUGUUAUUUGAAUAAAAUUGGAAUUUUAAAAAUAUUUACAUAAUCAACAGCUAAAAUCUACCUCCUGUACCAGCACAACAUGACAUUUUCAGUGAUUGGUACUGGGACUGCCAGAUUUAUCUCUAUCAUGACGACAAUAUUUAAUUGUUACAAAUUUGGUCAUAGUGUCUGAUAUAAUGUGUAUUACAACCCAAAACCAUGCAUUUACCCAUUGAUAUUUAUAGCUAUCUUCCUGGAAUACAUUUUAUACCAGUCUUUUAACUGUUAAAUAUACUAUUCUUUAAUUUACCACUUAAGCACAACACAGAAUGAAAAAUGGGGCAAUACACAUUUUAUCAUCUAUCUUUAAGCUAAUGUUGAAAUUUUAUCAAUUUGCAAUCUGUUUCCAUGAAAAGCGGCAAUUCACACUUUGAGACACAAAUGUACACACGGUUAAACAGUGAGAAAGUGAAUGAGGUGAAUUGUCAUAGCUGUGUGUGCUUGUGUAUAAAUUGUGGAAGAGAUGGCCUGAAAAAGCGUGACAGUGUGUGUCUGUGUGCAAAAUCUGAGGGGGUGGGUUGUAUAAAAGAUCUUAAUAAAGGCCCCUGUCACCAUUAUCUUGUGGAGAACAA